GAUCCCUUUGGAAGAACAUAUACUAAAGCUGGAAUGUUACAGGGGUUAGCUUGGUCCCUGUGCAAGGAUGACACCCAAAUUUGUGAAGAAUUCCAAUAAAAG
rfam:Erinaceus europaeus unplaced genomic scaffold scaffold00116, whole genome shotgun sequence